rnacentral:rRNA from 1 species
GAAUAUUGCACAAUGGGCGAAAGCCUGAUGCAGCGACGCCGCGUGAGGGAUGACGGCCUUCGGGUUGUAAACCUCUUUCAGCAGGGAAGAAGCGCAAGUGACGGUACCUGCAGAAGAAGCGCCGGCUAACUACGUGCUAGCAGCCGCGGUAAUACGUAGGGCGCAAGCGUUGUCCGGAAUUAUUGGGCGUAAAGAGCGCGUAGGCGGUUUGUCGCGUCUGCUGUGAAAACCUCAGGCUCAACCUGGGGCUUGCAGUGGGUACGGGCAGACUAGAGUGCGGUAGGGGUGACUGGAAUUCCUGGUGUAGCGGUGGAAUGCGCGGAUAUCAGGAGGAACACCGAUGGCGAAGGCAGGUCACUGGGCCGCAACUGACGCUGAGGAGCGAAAGCAUGGGGAGCGAACAGG